GAGUUACAAGGGAAGCGAUGUGUCUGACUUCCAGGCUGAGCAUUUCAGAAGCAGUACAAUGACCCUCCAAUGCUCUCCUGUCCCCUCGGCCAUAACAACUGGCACCAGUGAAAAGACAUGGAGCAGAGCUUCCAGCUAACUCGGGAUGGACAUAUAGAGAGCGAGAGGGAGCAGGAAAAAAGUGGUCUUUGUUGUGAAGCCACAGUCCCAAACUUCAACCUAGAGGAAUGUCAAGUCCUGAAAAAAGCUACGGAGAAGGCUUGCAAUUAUGUCCUUAGUCACAACAAGAGGGUAAGAACGUUCAAGGCACUGGAUUGAGAGACACAAAAGUCAGGAAGUGACCCUUUCGUCGGGAUUUCAGAGGCCGCGGAGUAGAAACAAAGUCCUCUCUCAGCUUGGGGCACUUCGGGCGAUACCAUCCCGAGGGGCAGCGUGGGGGAGGCGGGCGAGCGCCGCGGAAACUGACAUCUGCGUGCUCACCGAGCCGCGAGUAAACUGAGGAUGGCCACGCUGAGAAGACUCGGUGGCCGCGGCUCCCCCGCCCAGAAAUGAAACGGGUUUCGGCCGAUCGUCCCUGUGGAGCCCGCUGAAAAAGAAGCCGGGUCGCCCUGGCCAGAGCCGGCCUCCUGAAUCGCGCCCUGUGCGCGCCGGACCGGGCCGCGCGCCCGAGGCUGCAGGAUGGCGUGCCGGGGCCAGCCCAUCUGCGGCCGCGAGGAAGCCGGCCCGGGAUGAAUGGGGCUUUGUUCGCCGGCCGCCGCGGCUGCCCUCGGCAGGCCCGAUCCGCACAACGGAGGCUGUAUGCGAGAGGAAUGGAAAUGAGCCUCCGGCUCUCCCGAAGGAGCCCCAUCCCCUUCCCUUCGCCGUGCGCAGGAAUGCUGGCAAGCCGGAAAGGAACCCUCGCCGGGAACGCCGCUCUCGCGGCUCUGAAACCCCAUUGAGAAGAGCCCUUUGAUGCAAUUAAAGCGCGUUUCAUUGCAGGCCGGGGAGGAGGGAAGGCCCGUCAAGCUUUUUUUCUGUCUCUGGAGCAUGUGUGUGCACCUUUGUAGGGUGGGUUACUUAGAGAGCAGGCGGCAACUUGAGCUCCCUCUCUCUCGCAGACGUUCUGUAACAUCAUAAAAGCGUACCCAUAAACAGAUUGGUUUUCACCGUGGGUGGAACCCAAUUUGGACACGAUCCAGGCUGACCUGCAGGCUAGAGUGCCUGUUUUGAAAGCCUCCUUGGUACGCCUUACACUACCUUGCCUGCUUUAAAGGUUUAGGAGGACGAGAAAUUGCAUUUGGAGGAGGAAGUUGUUUCUGAGGUCGCUGAUCAUUUUCCAUUUUCUCAGCGGGAAUGGGCCACGUCGCAGGUCCAGAAAUGGUCAGAGCCAGACCUCUAAAAUGAUGGAGGCUGCAAAUGUUGAAGGACUACGGUGCGACAGCUAUUUUGAUAAUCAGAUUCUUCUGUAAGAUUUCCUUAAUUCCUCCAUUGAGACAACUGUGUGGCCCCAGAAAACCCACAUGGCCUCUCUGAGCUUAAUAUUUUUCAUCCGUUGAAAUGAAUCUCAUAAGGCUAGAGAACAGACGUAAAGCUCUGGGUGCUUGUGAAUUCUUUCUAAAUUGGAGGUGAGCGCCUUAUCUACUCACACGUGAAAGAUGUAUGGGACUGGAACUCCAGGAAACAUCUGUGUAAAAAGAUUCUAUCCGGUCUUGUUUUGUUGAAUUUGUGCCAUUUAUUACUAGGACUAAUAGUCUAAUGUUUAUCUCUCUCCAAUGAGAACACGAACCUGUCUUUUUUCCGGUAUCGUCUGUGCCCAGGGCAGUCCCUGACCAUCCUAAGUGGGCAACAGAUAUGUUGAAUGAACAAAUAAAUCCAGAAAUGUAAUGAAUUAAUACUCACGUUGGCUUUUUUCUGUCACUUAUAAAUCUAAACGAGGAAUAGGGGGAGCUAGGUGGGUACUGAGGCUCCUUGGCUAGGCAGAAAUUCAGGACAAGUUUGAAGAAAAGUGUAGGAAAACAUUUUUGAAAGCACAAACAUGC
ensembl:lncRNA